rnacentral:rRNA from 1 species
GACGAACGCUGGCGGCGUGCUUAACACAUGCAAGUCGAACGGAAAGGCCCUGCUUUUGUGGGGUGCUCGAGUGGCGAACGGGUGAGUAACACGUGAGUAACCUGCCCUUGACUUUGGGAUAACUUCAGGAGACUGGGGCUAAUACCGGAUAGGAGCUCCUGCUGCAUGGUGGGGGUUGGAAAGUUUCGGCGGUUGGGGAUGGAUUCGCGGCUUAUCAGCUUGUUGGGGGGGUAGGGGCUUACCAAGGCUUUGACGGAUAGCCGGCAUGAGAGGGGGACCGGCCACAUUGGGCCUGAGGUACGGACCAGAAUCCUACGGGAGGCAGCAGUGGGGAAUAUUGCACAAUGGGCGGAAGCCUGAUGCAGCAACGCCGCGUGCGGAAUGACGGCCUUCGGGUUGUAAACCGCUUUCGCCGGUGACGAAGAGUGAGUGACGGUAAUGGGUAAAGAAGCACCGGCUAACUACGUG